rnacentral:miRNA from 1 species
CCAAACUCUAUCUCUUUCUUCCA